rnacentral:rRNA from 1 species
CAGUAGCCGCGGUAACACGAAGGGUGCAAGCGUUAAUCGGAAUUACUGGGUGUAGAGCGUGCGUAGGCGGUGAGUUAAGUCUGCUGUGAAAUCCCCGGGCUCAACCUGGGAAUGGCAGUGGAUACUGGCUCGCUAGAGUGUGUCAGAGGAUGGUGGAAUUCCCGGUGUAGCGGUGAAAUGCGUAGAGAUCGGGAGGAACAUCAGUGGCGAAGGCGGCCAUCUGGGACAACACUGACGCUGAGGCACGAAAGCGUGGGGAGCAAACAGGAUUAGAUACCCCGGUAGUCCCUGUCUCUUAUAC